UAAUACGGAGGGGGCUAGCGUUGUUCGGAAUCACUGGGCGUAAAGCGCGCGUAGGCCGAUUGUUAAGUCGGGGGUGAAAGCCUGGAGCUCAACUCCAGAACUGCCUCCGAUACUGGCAAUCUUGAGUCCGGGAGAGGUGAGUGGAAUUCCCAGUGUAGAGGUGAAAUUCGUAGAUAUUGGGAAGAACACCAGUGGCGAAGGCGGCUCACUGGCCCGGUACUGACGCUGAGGCGCGAAAGCGUGGGGAGCAAACAGGAUUAGAUACCCUGGUAGUCCACGCCGUAAACGAUGGAUGCUAGCCGUUGGACAGCAUGCUGUUCAGUGGCGCAGCUAACGCAUUAAGCAUCCCGCCUGGGGAGUACGGUCGCAAGACUA
rnacentral:rRNA from 1 species